CAGAUUGAACGCUGGCGGCAGGCCUAACACAUGCAAGUCGAGCGGCAGCACGGGUACUUGUACCUGGUGGCGAGCGGCGGACGGGUGAGUAAUGCCUAGGAAUCUGCCUGGUAGUGGGGGAUAACGCUCGGGAAACGGACGCUAAUACCGCAUACGUCCUACGGGAGAAAGCAGGGGACCUUCGGGCCUU
rnacentral:rRNA from 1 species